rnacentral:rRNA from 1 species
UACGGGGGGGGCAGGCGUUGUUCGGAAUUACUGGGCGUAAAGGGCUCGUAGGCGGCCAACUAAGUCAGACGUGAAAUCCCUCGGCUUAACCGGGGAACUGCGUCUGAUACUGGAUGGCUUGAGGUUGGGAGAGGGAUGCGGAAUUCCAGGUGUAGCGGUGAAAUGCGUAGAUAUCAGGAGGAACACCGGUGGCGAAGGCAAUCCCCUGGGCCUGCACUGACGCUCAUGCACGAAAGCGUGGGGAGCAAACAGG